UACACCAUUAAAAGCAUCACACUGCAGGAUGCAGGAGAAUACAUCUGUGAGGCACAGAAUAGGAUUGGGACAAAAACAUCUCCUCCUAAACGUCUUGAUGUGCAGUAUCCUCCGAAGAGCGUCUCAGUAUCAGUGAGCCCCUCUGGUGAAAUAGUGGAGGGCAGUUCAGUGACUCUGACCUGCAGCAGCAGUGAUGCCAACCCACCAGUGCAUAUACACACCUGGUAUAAGAAUAGAGCUGAACUCUCAUGGAGAGGAUCUAGGUACACCAUUAAAAGCAUCAAACUGCAGGAUGCAGGAGAAUACAUCUGUGAGGCACAGAAUAGGAUUGGGACAAAAACAUCUCCUCCUAAACGUCUUGAUGUGCAGUAUCCUCCGAAGAGUGUCUCAGUAUCAGUGAGCCCCUCUGGUGAAAUAGUGGAGGGCA